rnacentral:rRNA from 1 species
GCGGCGGACGGGUGAGUAACACGUGGAUAACCUACCUAUAAGACUGGGAUAACUUCGGGAAACCGGAGCUAAUACCGGAUAAGAUUUUGAACCGCAUGGUUCAAUAGUGAAAGACGGCCUUGCUGUCACUUAUAGAUGGAUCCGCGCCGUAUUAGCUAGUUGGUAAGGUAACGGCUUACCAAGGCAACGAUACGUAGCCGACCUGAGAGGGUGAUCGGCCACACUGGAACUGAGACACGGUCCAGACUCCUACGGGAGGCAGCAGUAGGGAAUCUUCCGCAAUGGGCGAAAGCCUGACGGAGCAACGCCGCGUGAGUGAUGAAGGUCUUCGGAUCGUAAAACUCUGUUAUCAGGGAAGAACAAACGUGUAAGUAACUGUGCACGUCUUGACGGUACCUGAUCAGAAAGCCACGGCUAACUACGUGCCAGCAGCCGCGGUAAUACGUAGGUGGCAAGCGUUAUCCGGAAUUAUUGGGCGUAAAGCGCGCGUAGGCGGUUUUUUAAGUCUGAUGUGAAAGCCCACGGCUCAACCGUGGAGGGUCAUUGGAAACUGGAAAACUUGAGUGCAGAAGAGGAAAGUGGAAUUCCAUGUGUAGCGGUGAAAUGCGCAGAGAUAUGGAGGAACACCAGUGGCGAAGCGACUUUCUGGUCUGUAACUGACGCUGAUG